rnacentral:rRNA from 1 species
AGUGAACGCUGGCGGCAGGCCUAACACAUGCAAGUCGAGCGGCAGCGCGGGGGCAACCCUGGCGGCGAGCGGCGGACGGGUGAGGAAUUCGUCGGAAUCUGCCUUUUUGUGGGGGAUAACGUGGGGAAACUUACGCUAAUACCGCAUACGUCCUACGGGAGAAAGUGGGGGACCGCAAGGCCUCACGCAGAAAGAUGAGCCGACGACCGAUUAGCUAGUUGGUGGGGUAAAGGCCCACCAAGGCGACGAUCGGUAGCUGGUCUGAGAGGAUGAUCAGCCACACUGGGACUGAGACACGGCCCAGACUCCUACGGGAGGCAGCAGUGGGGAAUAUUGGACAAUGGGCGCAAGCCUGAUCCAGCCAUGCCGCGUGUGUGAAGAAGGCCUUCGGGUUGUAAAGCACUUUUGUCCGGAAAGAAAUCCCUGGAGCUAAUACCUUCGGGGGAUGACGGUACCGGAAGAAUAAGCACCGGCUAACUUCGUG